GCUGGGGCUUCUCGGGGGCUCCUGACUGGGGCGCUGUGGGUGCGGGCUUGUCUCGUCGCCAGGCUCGCCUCCUGGAAGGAUUUAGGGUAGCUGAGGCCUUUUUUGGAGACUGGGAAGUUCCAGAUCAAGAUGGUGGCAUUUUGCGAGUGCCUUCUUGUGGUGUCUUCAAAUGGUGCACGGCCAAAGGGUGAGAGUGGAAGGUCUUGCUACACAGUUUGGACUCGUAGUGAUCCUCCUGUCUCAGCCUCUCUAGCACUGGGAUUACAGCUAUGUGCCACCAUGCCCAGUUUGGGGGCUGGCUCAAUGGGCCUGGGUUCCUGGGUGUAGUGGUUGGUUGAUUGUAUCAACUUAAGAAGCUAAGAGCUUAGCUCAAUUGGCUCAGCAGUUGCACACCCU